rnacentral:rRNA from 1 species
GAGCGCCGUAGCAAUACGGAGCGGCAGACGGGAGAGUACACGUGGGAACGUGCCCUUCAGUUCGGAACAACCCAGGGAAACUUGGGCUAAUACCGGAUACGUCCGUAAGGAGAAAGAUUUAUCGCUGAAGGAUCGGCCCGCGUCUGAUUAGCUAGUUGGUGAGGUAAUGGCUCACCAAGGCGACGAUCAGUAGCUGGUCUGAGAGGAUGAUCAGCCUCACUGGGACUGAGACACGGCCCAGACUCCUACGGGAGGCAGCAGUGGGGAAUAUUGGACAAUGGGCGCAAGCCUGAUCCAGCCAUGCCGCGUGGGUGAUGAAGGCCCUAGGGUUGUAAAGCCCUUUCGGCGGGGAAGAUAAUGACGGUACCCGCAGAAGAAGCCCCGGCUAACUUCGUGCCAGCAGCCGCGGUAAU